rnacentral:rRNA from 1 species
UAGCAUAUUCAUUUGACGUUUAGCUGCAGAAGAAGCACCGGCUAACUCCGUGCCAGCAGCCGCGGUAAUACGGAGGGUGCGAGCGUUAAUCGGAAUUACUGGGCGUAAAGCGCAUGCAGGUGGUUUGUUAAGUCAGAUGUGAAAGCCCGGGGCUCAACCUCGGAAUUGCAUUUGAAACUGGCAAACUAGAGUACUGUAGAGGGGGUAGGAAUUUCAGGUGUAGCGGUGAAAUGCGUAGAGAUCUGAAGGAAUACCGGUGGCGAAGGCGGCCCCCUGGACAGAUACUGACACUCAGAUGCGAAAGCGUGGGGAGCAAACAGGAUUAGAUACCCUGUAG